rnacentral:misc_RNA from 1 species
GAUGAAGAACGUAGCGAAAUGCGAUAAGUAAUGUGAAUUGCAGAAUUCAGUGAAUCAUCGAAUCUUUGAACGCACAUUGCGCCCCUUGGUAUUCCGAGGGGCAUGCCUGUUCGAGCGUCAUUUCAACCCUCAAGCACAGCUUGGUCUUGGGCUUCGCCGCUAACCCGGCGGGUCUUAAAAUCAGUGGCGGUGCCGUCGGGCCCUGAGCGCAGUAAUCUCUCUCGCUAUAGGGUCCCGGCGGAUGCUGGCCAGUAACCCCCAAUUUUCUAUGGUUGACCUCGGAUCAGGUAGGGAUACCCGCUGAACUUAAGCAUAUCAAUAACGGAGGA